UGGGGGAUAUUGCACAAUGGGCGAAAGCCUGAUGCAGCGACGCCGCGUGGGGGAUGAAGGCUUUCGGGUUGUAAACCUCUUUCGCUAUCGAACAAGGCCCGCUUAGGGUGGGUUGAGGGUAGGUGGUGAAGAAGCGCCGGCUAACUACGUGCCAGCAGCCGCGGUAAUACGUAGGGCGCGAGCGUUGUCCGGAAUUAUUGGGCGUAAAGGGCUUGUAGGCGGCUUGUUGCGCCUGCUGUGAAAACGCGGGGCUUAACUUCGCGCGUGCAGUGGGUACGGGCAGGCUUGAGUGUGGUAGGGGUGACUGGAAUUCCAGGUGUAGCGGUGGAAUGCGCAGAUAUCUGGAGGAACACCGAUGGCGAAGGCAGGUCACUGGGCCAUUACUGACGCUGAGGAGCGAAAGCAUGGGUAGCGAACAGG
rnacentral:rRNA from 1 species